rnacentral:lncRNA from 1 species
CACACGCGCACCGGCCUCAGUCUUGCUGAAUUGAGAGGGUUCAGCCGCGGCUACUUUGUAGCGGGGUCGGGCCCCACCCAGACUGAGGCGGUUACAGCGGAUCUUGAACCAACCGUGGGCCUGGGGAAUUUAUCUCCAGCUACUGCCGGCUGCAGCGGCCUGAGUACUAAGCGCAGUCUCUUUCAAAGGUUUCUCCAAGACCGGAUUUGGGCCAUCUCUCAAGACCAAGUCAAAGACCAUUCUUCUUGAGAGCCUCACCUUAACUUCAGAAAAAGGAAACCCUGGGCCCUAGAAAGAUCCUCUGUUCCAGACCCCAAAACCGUCGCCCCUAUCCAGGAGGAAGUAGCCAGAGAGAUACGGCACCCUUUUCCCAUCCUUUUAUGACUUCAGGGUCUGUAAUGAAGGAGUCCUCAGGCCUAGAAAAAGAAGAUAACUACCUCAAGGGCCCUUGCUGGACCACCUGACUUCAGGGAAAAUAAAAGUGAACUUUGCCCCACUCCAGUACUCCAGGCAGAUUGCAUCAGCCUGGAACUUUCCACCCCCUGCUCAACUACAAAUGCCAUCUCAGGUUGAAAACUACAGGUACAAGCCAUUGAAGCCAGGAUGCUCUCUGAUGCUGGUAUUUUAACUGACCUACACCAACUAUAUUGCUCUGCAGUGUACAACACACAAGUGAGUCUAAUGAGGCCAGCUAUUCUCACAUAACUUGUAGCAGCUAUGGAUCUGCACUGGCAUAGGAGUUGGGUCAGUGGGAUAAUGCUGGUGGUUUAAUUCUCCCAGCUUUAUGAAGUGGGUAGUGUAAAAUUAUAGAUGAAGCAAUAUUUCAGGUAGUGAAUUAAUAUUCUAUCACAUGCAUAGCCCUAAACAAGUAACCUCAUAUGUACCUUUCUGGCUAUGUAAACUAUGGAAAGUCAUGUAUCUCUCGGGAUUUAGUGUCCUCGUGUAACAGUAGAAGUAUUCAAGUAGAGAUUAGGCCAUUUGGGGAGGGAGUUAGGAUUAGAGACUUAGUAUAUAUGUUGAAAUUUGGCACAAAGGGACCAUUCUUCAGCAUGUUAAAUGCUGCUGAAUGUAGCACAGUGAGCUGUAAGAAGGAAUUUAAAGGACACAAUGAUGCUAGAUUGUUAGAAUUCUGGAAGUAUUGGAGGUGAUGGGAAAGUUUUCAUAUAGGAAGAAAUGUCAGUGUAGCAAAAUUAAUAGUCCAGUAGGAGCUAGGAAUUCUUUCUGUUAUCAGCACUGAAUGCUUGCAAAUACCUCAUUUUCCAGAAAUCUUAAAUCUUAAGCCUAGGAUUCACUCUUAAUGCUUAUUUCAAAACAUUGUUUUAGCCUCUGUGUAAACUUCAUUUUUUUAAUAUUCCAAAUUCUGUAAAAUCUAGCCUAAUAUAGGAAAUUCAACAAAUAUGUUGUAAAAGAAUAAUUGCUAGAGGGAAAAGACAAGGAAAAUAGGAAAGGCGUGUGUAUGCACUCUGAGUGGAGGACAUAAUUUCAGAUAGAGCUGGCUGAGACUGACUACAGAAGACCUGAAAGGGCUGCAGAGGGUAACAUGGUUGUUACAGUCAACCUUUGAGUAACAUGGAUUUGAACUUAAUAGGUCCCCUUAUUCAUAGGUAUUUUCAGUAGUAGAUACUACAUGGUUGAAUUUGUGGAUGUGGAGGGCCAUCUAUAAAUUAUUCAGAUUAACUCCUUUAUUAUACAAAGGUCAACUGUAAAUAUUUGGAUGAAGAGGAUUUCAGGUAGAGGGAAAGCAAGUGCAAAGGCCCUGGGGAGGGAUAUGUUUAAAGGUUUGUGGGGAAAGCAAGGUGAAGCUGCAGAGAAGUGGCCUUAAGUGUGUGUGCAGGGCUAGGGUGGGUAUUUGAGACCAUUCUAAGAUGGCAGCUUGCUUUCUGGCCUGUCAGACCUUGGAAUGCUACCACUUAACCUACAAUGCCCCCUGCCAUCCAUAUACUUUCCCACGUUUCUAUUAAGUGCUAUCUUCCCUCCCCGGUGCUCUUAUUCUGGAUUUCUAUAGCACCUUGUAAUGCCCUUAUACUUGGAAGCACAUUUUGUGGUUUCUUGUGAGCUUGCCAAUAAAAUCCAUCUUGGUUUCUACCAUAUUCCUUGGGUCUGACCAAAUACCUGGCAUAUUAUAAGUUCUCAAAUAGUCCUAAAACCAUGGUGACUAUAGUACAAGGAGCAGUAUCAUUUAUAAUACUAUUGUUAGUUGUGUUGAAUUGUCUUAUAAAUCAUACUGAAGUAAGUGGCUUACUUAGGAGUGGAGCCUAGUUAGUAAGAGCCUAGAUUCAAAUCCCCAUCCUAAAUGAUCUCUGACCAGUUCUUAACUUCAAUUUCUUUAUCUUCGGUGGUGGCUUAGUCGCUAUGUUGAGUCUAACUCUUAAGUUGAUGAUAGUUACUGGGGUUUAUACACAGUACAUCUAACUCCCUGGUGAGUAGUAGGCACUUAGUAGUGCUAUAGGAUCAUUUUGAUAAUACUGUAUGGUCACUGUAAUUUAGAUCAGAAUGAAAAUACUGAUACUUGAUAUUUAUAUGCUACUAAGAUCCUGGCUUUAAUGUUCGUUAAAAAAAAUAAUAGAGUACCUGCUAUGGGCCAAGACCUAUUCUGGGUAUUGUGAACAAAGCAGAUCAGAGUAUGUAAUUGCAACUGGUCUUUGACAAAGGCCUCCGGUGUAAAGGCCUGUGACUAGUUAGCAUUUUGGUGGAGAAGUAUUUGGUAGACUAAAGGCCUAGAUGAAAGUCUGAGGGCGCUAGCAAAGUUUCCAAGGGUAACCACUGGUUGCACAAGAAGCGUCACUCCACUGAGCCCUGCUGGUGGUUCUCUGUCCCUUGAGGAGUCACUUGGGCUGGGCAGACAGGUGGAAACCUUGGGUCUGCCACAGAUUUCCCCCUCUCCCAGGAAGCAACUGCAACCGGUACAGUCCUGUUCAUAUGUUGAUUUUCCAAAAAUUUUUUAAAUAACCAGGAAUUUGUUAUUUAAAAUUCUACAUCCAUGGGAUUACAGUCCGUGCAGGCUACAGUCCAUGGGGUUGCAAAGAGUCAAACACAACUGAGUGACUAAGCACAGCACACAGGUUGCAACAAAUACUGAUACCGAAUAAUGGCAGCUUCAUGCUAGAGAUUGGUAAGUAGAUGGACAGACCCAAGUUUCUGAAUAAAAAACUUACUGAAUUUCAGUAUUCUUGUGGGGCUAUCACAGUCAAUAAAUAAAACAUUGAAAAGA